UACGGAGGGUGCAAGCGUUGUCCGGAAUCACUGGGCGUAAAGAGCUCGUAGGCGGUUUGUCGCGUCUGCCGUGAAAGUCCGGGGCUCAACUCCGGAUCUGCGGUGGGUACGGGCAGACUAGAGUGAUGUAGGGGAGACUGGAAUUCCUGGUGUAGCGGUGAAAUGCGCAGAUAUCAGGAGGAACACCGAUGGCGAAGGCAGGUCUCUGGGCAUUAACUGACGCUGAGGAGCGAAAGCAUGGGGAGCGAACAGG
rnacentral:rRNA from 1 species